rnacentral:rRNA from 1 species
GAUGAACGCUGGCGGCGUGCCUAAUACAUGCAAGUCGAGCGAACGGACGAGAAGCUUGCUUCUCUGAUGUUAGCGGCGGACGGGUGAGUAACACGUGGAUAACCUACCUAUAAGACUGGGAUAACUUCGGGAAACCGGAGCUAAUACCGGAUGAUAUUUUGAACCGCAUGGUUCAAAAGUGAAAGACGGUCUUGCUGUCACUUAUAGAUGGAUCCGCGCUGCAUUAGCUAGUUGGUAAGGUAACGGCUUACCAAGGCAACGAUGCAUAGCCGACCUGAGAGGGGGACCGCCAACAGGGGAAGGGAGCAAGGGCCCAGCCCCAUGGGGGGGGCGGCAGGGGGGAUUCUUCGGAAAUGGGCAAAGGCCUGAGGGAGCAGCGCGGCGGGAGUGAGGAGGGUCUUCGGAGCGAAAAACUGUGUUAGGGGGGAAAAACAUAUGUGAAAGUAACGGUACACAUCUGGACGGUACAUAACAAAAAAGCCACGACAAACUACGUC